AAGUUGAAAAAUUGCAGGUAAGUAUAUCUAAUGUUGUCAACGAAUUGAAAUCACCUGUCCAGCAUUCACGACAUAGUCAUGUCGUUUGUCCCAGUAUUCAUUCACUUUAGCAUAUAAACCCGUUUUUUUCAAUUUUUUUUUGUUCUUGCUAAGUGAUAAUAUGGGAUGUAUCUUCAUAUUUGGCAUCUCAUUAAGUAUGCACACCUCCGCCAGUCCCAAUUGCUUAAA
rnacentral:lncRNA from 1 species